UCUUAUGGAUGAGCAAAGAAAGUGGUUUCUUGAGAGAGAAUUUACUCCUGGUAAGAUACUGUGAA
rnacentral:pre_miRNA from 1 species